UACAGAGGUCUCAAGCGUUGUUCGGAUUCAUUGGGCGUAAAGGGUGCGUAGGCGGCGUGGUAAGUCGGAUGUGAAAUCUCGGAGCUUAACUCCGAAACUGCAUUCGAUACUGGCGUGCUUGAGGACUGGAGAGGAGACUGGAAUUUACGGUGUAGCAGUGAAAUGCGUAGAUAUCGUAAGGAAGACCAGUGGCGAAGGCGGGUCUCUGGGCCGCAACUGACGCUGAGGAGCGAAAGCAUGGGGAGCGAACAGG
rnacentral:rRNA from 1 species